UCAGCGUCCAGGUAAUGCAGAGAAGAGUGGAAGGCAGGCGAGGCGGGGGGCGAACGAGGAGGAGGAGGAGAAAACGCUUCUAGCAGUCCUUCUGACCUAGGGCAGAACCCAACAACAGUUUCUUACACAAGACUGGCUGGUUCAUGCAGUGGACGCUCAGGAGAAUGGAAGGCACCUGAAGCAAAGAAAGAAAGAAAGAAAGAAAGAAAGAAAGAAAGAAAGAAAGAAAGAAAGGGAAUUUCCCAUGACUUUCUGGUCCCAGUCUGGGAAGCUAGGCUUGUGCACAUAGCAAUCCAAAAAGCGACGAGAAAGGGUGGAUGGAAGCUACAGGAACUGCCAAAAAUCCUAAGCUCUACUGGGCUCAUGCUGGCACAGAAGAAGGGAAAGAAGGAUGCAAUUUCUUUAUUCUCCCCUUCCCUGCUUUGCUCCCCCCAUUCUUCUUUAAGUUUUCCUUUCCAUAGGUCUGUUUGCCAGCCCCGGGCCUGGCAUAUACCCUCCUUUUGCGCUCUACGUGGGGCUACCUUUGAAGGUGACCCGGAAACUGCAAUUAAUCCAGAAUGCGGCAGCUAGACUGGUGACUGGGAG